AGAGUUUGAUCAUGGCUCAGGAUGAACGCUAGCUACAGGCUUAACACAUGCAAGUCGAGGGGCAGCAUUUUAGUUUGCUUUGCAAACUGAAGAUGGCGACCGGCGCACGGGUGAGUAACACGUAUCCAACCUGCCGAUAACUCCGGAAUAGCCUUUCGAAAGAAAGAUUAAUACCGGAUGGCAUACGAAUAUCGCAUGAUAUUUUUAUUAAGAAUUUCGGUAUCGAUGGGGAUGCGUUCCAUUAGUUUGUUGGCGGGGUAACGGCCCACCAAGACUACGAUGGAUAGGGGUUCUGAGAGGAAGGUCCCCCACAUUGGAACUGAGACACGGUCCAAACUCCUACGGGAGGCA
rnacentral:rRNA from 1 species